CAGAAGCCAGUCACCAGCACGUGGACUCACCUCCCUGGACAGUCGACUCUGUAGUUAGAAAACAGAAAUUAGAAGCAUUUUUCAAUGGAAAGGAGACCCAGAUUUACAUUUAUCUUACCACAAGGAACAAGUAUAAGAUAGUGACAGCAUUAGGUGGAAUGUGUAGGCAUUUGUAUCGGAACACAAGCUUUCUGAAAUACGAUAUUUAAACAAGCAUGUGAUUCAGAAAAAAGAAUACCAACAGAAAAUGUCUUGCAACCUACUCCUAAAGAAUGGUUUGGAUGUCUCCAGAAGUCCUGUUCUCUCACCUUGAAACUGUAAAUUUUCAGCCACAGCAAACCUUUGCCCAUACCUGAAUUAGCAAUAACCACAUUAAUGCAAACUUCCAGGACUUUUGUCAGUCAAAAUUCCUUUGUUUGAAGCCUCUGGUAAUAAUAAUAAUCUUAUUUCUACAAUUAUUUUAAGCAGCUUGAAAGAAGGUGAUGUGUUGGAUGCCACACAGCUGUACAGCAGUCUGAGGUGAAGCCCAGCGCAGCACAACUCUAAGCCUAGAGUAUGACAGCAACUCCUUAACACUGCAUGAGGGGUACCAGUGUGGUUAAUUGAGGAUGUAACAAGGCCAUCAUCAUUACAUGUGCGCAACCAGCCCGGCCAAGCACCGACAUUCUCUCGCUGGGGAAGCCAGGGUGCCAGAUCCCUGUGCAUGCGGGCUGGGAACGGUCCUGUGGGAUGUGAGUCCCAGCCUCUAUCCUGGCUACAGCUACAGUUCAGCCUGUCCUGAAAACCUUGCAUGUGCUUGCUGCCAAUGUACUGUGGCAAUGAUUCAAGAGGAAACGGAGGUGACAUGGCAGAUCAAAAACUACUAGCCAACAGCAGGAUUGCUGGAAAGGAGAUGCUGUGCUUGCCAACAGGAGCCAUUCUCUCAACUACCAAGCUGUCACUGCGAAAAUCUCAGCUGGAUUUUGAGGCAUUUUCACCCAGUGAAACUUGGUGUGAUAGAUGAAAUUCACAGGGGCUGGCCUCCAGCUCAGCAGCAGUCACAAGAGAAAUCAUGCGACCAUCUGGCUGGCUGAAUUUUGCCAUAGCAUAUGGGAUUCUGGAUAAGUCUCAGACCAUUACAGAAGCCCCAAACUAGGGAACAGAAUUCUUCCAGAUUCAAUUCAACACAUCUCCCGUCUGCCUCAUGGUCACUGAAGGCAACAGUGUGCAGGCAGGUCACACAGACACUGAAACACCUGCUAUCAUAUAGCUCCCUGGGAGGCUUUAAACAUUACCAAUGUGAAGGGUCUAAGAGAGACCACCUGAUCCAUAUGACAGAACAGGGAAGGUAAGGGAGGAAAUGACAUCCAAGUGAUGAUUUAGCUCGAUACAUAUUUCUCUCUAGUUUAAAACAAACAAAAAAUAAAAAACACCACCACAAAUACACACUUGGUCACAAACAACUGCUGUUGAUGACAACACAUGGGGACUGAAUCAGAGGUGGUACUCCAGAGAACAAAACACCCUUUUGAAUCUGCACUGCCUACUGAUGUGUUAAACCUCCUUCCGCUCUUUUCUAGCUGUUCCUCCAAGGAAAUCAUUCAUGUUAGAAAAGAAAUAGCCAGAUGAACAAACAACACACAGCAGGGAACUGAACAUCAAUAACCUGUAUCAGAAGAGAAGGCAAACCAUUUAAACAAAGACUAGGAGAACAAUGGUACAUGGCUCCUGAUAAACAAGUGUGUAAUUCAGGAAAGAUGGUUCUGUCUUGAAGAGCUCUCAAGAGUCUGUACUGCUAGCAGGAAUCAAUGAAGGAUAGUUCUGAAGUUUCAAGACUGCAUAUAGAGAACUGCAGUAGAAUGCUAAAUUCAAUGUAUGCCUACUACAAGACAUGGAUUAAUCAU